AGCGAACGCUGGCGGCAGGCCUAACACAUGCAAGUCGAACGGAUCCUUCGGGAUUAGUGGCGGACGGGUGAGUAACACGUGGGAACGUGCCCUUUGGUUCGGAACAACUCAGGGAAACUUGAGCUAAUACCGGAUGUGCCCUUCGGGGGAAAGAUUUAUCGCCAUUGGAGCGGCUCGCGUCUGAUUAGCUAGUUGGUGACGUAACGGCCCACCAAGGCGACGAUCAGUAGCUGGUCUGAGAGGAUGAUCAGCGACACUGGGACUGAGACACGGCCCAGACUCCUACGGGAGGCAGCAGUGGGGAAUCUUGCGCAAUGGGCGAAAGCCUGACGCAGCCAUGCCGCGUGAAUGAUGAAGGUCUUAGGAUUGUAAAAUUCUUUCAGCGGGGACGAUAAUGACGGUACCCGCAGAAGAAGCUCCGGCUAACUUCGUG
rnacentral:rRNA from 1 species